GACGAACGCUGGCGGCGUGCUUAACACAUGCAAGUCGAACGGUGAAGCACCUUCCUUUUGGUGGGUGUGGAUGAGUGGCGAACGGGUGAGUAACACGUGAGUAACCUGCCCCCUUCUUCUGGAUAACCGCAUGAAAGUGUUGCUAAUACGGGAUAUUCUGGGUCUGUCGCAUGGCGGGCCUGGGAAAGAUAUUGUUUCGGUGGGGGAUGGGCUCGCGGUCUAUCAGCUUGUUGGUGGGGUGAUGGCCUACCAAGGCGGUGACGGGUAGCCGGCCUGAGAGGGUGGACGGUCACACUGGGACUGAGACACGGCCCAGACUCCUACGGGAGGCAGCAGUGGGGAAUAUUGCACAAUGGGCGCAAGCCUGAUGCAGCGACGCCGCGUGAGGGAUGGAGGCCUUCGGGUUGUAAACCUCUUUCGCCAGUGAAGCAGGCCUGUCCCUUUUGUGGGUGGGUUGACGGUAGCUGGAUAAGAAGCGCCGGCUAACUACGUG
rnacentral:rRNA from 1 species